UUUUAAAAGCAGUUUUAUAAAAAUAGUGAUACCAAUAAAACCAGAGGCUAAUUGCUGUACAAAUAUUAGGUAACCAUGGACAGUCCUAUAGGAAACUUGGUAAUCAUUGGCAAAGUCCACAGGAUUCUGAAAUCUGAUGUAAAAUAUUAAUCAGUGAUUUACCCUCUGGAUAAAACCAAUUAUAAUCAUAAAUAUUGUAAUUUGCCAACCCUUAGUAAUUAAUCAGCUGAAAUUCA